rnacentral:rRNA from 1 species
GACGAACGCUGGCGGCGUGCUUAACGCAUGCAAGUCGAACGGAAAGGCCCUGCUUUUGUGGGGUGCUCGAGUGGCGAACGGGUGAGUAACACGUGAGUAACCUGCCCUUGACUUUGGGAUAACUUCAGGAAACUGGGGCUAAUACCGGAUAGGAGCUCCUGCUGCAUGGUGGGGGUUGGAAAGUUUCGGCGGUUGGGGAUGGACUCGCGGCUUAUCAGCUUGUUGGUGGGGUAGUGGCUUACCAAGGCUUUGACGGGUAGCCGGCCUGAGAGGGUGACCGGCCACAUUGGGACUGAGAUACGGCCCAGACUCCUACGGGAGGCAGCAGUGGGGAAUAUUGCACAAUGGGCGGAAGCCUGAUGCAGCAACGCCGCGUGCGGGAUGACGGCCUUCGGGUUGUAAACCGCUUUCGCCUGUGACGAAGCGUGAGUGAUGGUAAUGGGUAAAGAAGCACCGGCUAACUACGUG